UGUGUUGCAGACUUCAACCAGAUUGUGCUCUGUUUUUGAGUGGUCCACAAUGAUGAGGAUGAUGAUGAUGACGACGAUAACUACUCUGCCAAUGAUGAUUUAAGCAAGAUGAUUACGACAGAUGAUUAUGACAUGGACAACAAUGCUGUUGAUGAUGACAAGUAUGGUGGUGGUGGUGGUGAUGAUAUAACGAUGACAUGGUAAUUAUGAUGAUGUGAUAAUGACGAUAACGAUAAUUCUGAUUACAUUUAUGAUAAUUAUGACUGUGGUGACAACCCUGGACAACAUUUUAACUCGUCUGUUCAUGAUUAGGAGCCCUUUGCUGCCUAACCAACCGAGCCACACCCUCCCCUUAUUAUCAAAGGCACUGCAUACAGAACAUCGGCGAUUGAUCGUUUGUUUCGUCGCUGGCCUGGGCAUGUCACAACAAAUACAAUGGAGAGACGGGGGGUACAUAUGUCUACCGCCUGUGCUACGACCUCACUUGAUGAUAUAUAACACAAUGUUCAAUCAUAAUUUGCUUAUCCGGGAAAGUUGCACUAGGUCUUCGGAAUGUUUAUUUAGGAGGGCCCUGAUGCAUUGGAUGUUUAAUUUGAAGAUGUGUUAGCCAGUUAAUGACGAGUGUUUAUUAUACACGUGGGAUAAAACCGGAGCACACGGAAGAAACACACACACACACUUGUGCGAGGGGGUAACGCUGUAUCCCUGUGCAGAUGAAAACAGAUGGCGACAAGUCCACUCGCCGUACCGCCUCCUCCUGGCGAGCCAGGGAAUGGCGGUCUCUUUGACGCACAGGGGGGAAGUGAUUUUCGCAGCCCAUCUGCGUGUGAUCCACCAACCCUUGCUGCUGCCUCCACAGUGCUGGAUCACAGGCAGGCCACGUGCAGCAGCGUAGCCACCACUUCCCGGUUUGCUGAAUUCGAGAAAGAACGAUCAGAUUUUGAUUCCCACUUUUAGAAAUAUACAUGUUGCAAGACCCGAGAGACUGAAUUGUUAUUCAAGAAAAAGAGCACGUUCCAUCGUGAGACAAGAAUAACGUUAAUAGUACAGUCUUCUUUAUCCAUAUUCAUUCAUUUUGACUAUUGGAACAAUAAGUUUAGCCUGGAACAUAAAAUCCCUAUUCUAACCGGUGUUUGGCAUUUCAAUUUCCUCUCGCCAGGUGUUCGCAAUGCUUUUAAUUAAACUUGUAAACGUGUUCAGCAUGGGCCACGUUUAAGUCGGCUUAGCCACCCUCUGGAUGAUCUCACCGUGGCAGUGAUUGCGAAGUGAGGCUCUCGUUUCGCUGGAUUCUUGAAACGCUGCGAGCAGAGUUACGGCGAACCUGGAGGCUCAUCUACGACCGCUGGUGGACUGGAGUGGGUACGUGACUGCGAGCCACAGCCACAAAGCGAGAGCCCGGUGUCUGGGUGCUCUGCAGCCCACGGGCCCUGGUGCAGUUGCACCGCCUGCACACCCUAGCGAGUAGAUCGUGAAUCGAUUUCGGGCGGAUUCCUUCAUGCGGCUCGCAUUCAGCAAUCCACGCUGAGCGUCGCGGCUUUCCCUCGCAUUCGAGGAUGAUUGUCUUCCAUAGACAAAGUUGGAUUAUCUGCGGGUCCGAAGUUGGCUCAAGAGGACCGAUCUGGGAUCCACAGAAUUCUGCGGCAGCUCGUGUACAUUUGUCGAGAAGGAGGACGCGGGAGUGUUGGCGUGGAACUGCAUUCCUGAGGUGAUCCUGGGCCAAGAGUCACCCAUGAGUUGGUGUCGAUGGAGGACUUCUUCGUGUUGGCCUUGAGGACGACAUCCUUGAAGCGCCAUCUCUGCCCGCCCCUUGAAGGCACACCCCGAAUCAUCUUGGAGUUGGAAGGCUUUGCUGCUUCGGGAGUCUGGAGUUGGACAUAGAGACGACAUGGCCGGCCCAGCGAAGCUGAUGUCGAACGAUCGUGGCCUCAAUGCUCGUGGUGUUUGUUUGCGAGAGGACGCUGAUGUUUGUAGUGCGUCUGUCUUCCCACCUAAUUUUAAGGAUUUUCCGCAGGCAGCGUUGAUUGUACUUCUCUAGCGCUGUUGAGAUUGUCUCCUGAAUGCCAUCUGCGUCUCGGCUCUGUACAGAAAUGGCAGAGAUGAAGUGGGCGUACACAGUGACCAUACCGAAAGUACAGCAAAGCAAACAGUCUCAACAAAACCCUCUCUCAUGGGCAUGACAUGCAGCACCGCAGUCGUGAGACAUCGGGGUGAUUGCCAGCUCUUGGGACGCGAUAUCGUCGUGACAACCCGAAUAGCAGCUACGCUCACUGGCUGCUGCUGCUGCUGCUGCGCCUGCUUCUGUCACUGCAAGGGCAUCUUCCGGUGACAGAGGUGACCGGCCUCUGUGCUGAUGUUAGAAACAUCGUACCGCCAGAUUUAAAAUGUUCCCCCCCCGUCCAGUACCCAAUUAGUGCCGCUAAAGAUGCUCGCGGUGGCAGAUGAAUGCCAUUUUUUUUUGGGGGGGGGGGGGUUUCGAAGCGCGUCAGCCUCUUGUGGCUGGAGGCCGUCGGGUUUGCCCGCACCUUCGUUAAUACGAAGGCCGUGAGAACCGAGAGCCGGGGGUUAACAUGGGACGGGGGCAGAUUUGCCGGUCGAUGGAAGAGAGCGGGGGGGGGGGGGGGGUGUUGGCUGUUUUGAUGGAAAUGUCUCAGUAGUUCCAGGACAUUCCCCAAACACGUGGCGAGGGGGCGAGAGAGCGUUAUAUGGAUUGGUGGUCACUUAAUUUAUGUCUCUGACGCACUAAAGCCAUUCUUGACCCAGCACUCAGCUCUCGCUCUCCGUCUCGGGCUCUCUCGUUUUGUUUAAUUAGCCAGAGAGCUGCGAUUCUGCGGCCGUCUCGUGCUUGCCUCUGCACGCACGCACGAGUGAGUGAGCCAGUGUCUCUAUUCACGCACGAGGAGCGGUAGUAGUGUAGUGCUUAUCGCGCUGCGCUCCGAACACCCGACGACCCGAGUUCGAUUCCCGCUCACGGCCAGCACCAUUGACGAUUAUCUGAACC